rnacentral:rRNA from 1 species
GAGCAUAUCAAUAAGCGGAGGAAAAGAAACCAACAGGGAUUGCCCUAGUAACGGCGAGUGAAGCGGCAACAGCUCAAAUUUGAAAUCUGGCUUCGGCCCGAGUUGUAAUUUGCAGAGGAAGCUUUAGGCGCGGCACUUUCUGAGUCCCCUGGAACGGGGCGCCAUAGAGGGUGAGAGCCCCGUAUAGUUAGAUGCCUAGCCUGUGUAAAGCUCCUUCGACGAGUCGAGUAGUUUGGGAAUGCUGCUCAAAAUGGGAGGUAAAUUUCUUCUAAAGCUAAAUACCGGCCAGAGACCGAUAGCGCACAAGUAGAGUGAUCGAAAGAUGAAAAGCACUUUGAAAAGAGGGUUAAAUAGCACGUGAAAUUGUUGAAAGGGAAGCGCUUGUGACCAGACUUGCGCCGGGCAGAUCAUCCGGUGUUCUCACCGGUGCACUCUGCCCGGCUCAGGCCAGCAUCGGUUCUCGCGGGGGGAUAAAGGCCCUGGGAACGUAGCUCCUCCGGGAGUGUUAUAGCCCGGGGCGUAAUGCCCUCGCGGGGACCGAGGUUCGCGCAUCUGCAAGGAUGCUGGCGUAAUGGUCAUCAGCGACCCGUCUUGAAACACGGACCAAGGAGUCAAGGUUUUGCGCGAGUGUUUGGGUGUAAAACCCGCACGCGUAAUGAAAGUGAACGUAGGUGAGAGCUUCGGCGCAUCAUCGACCGAUCCUGAUGUUUUCGGAUGGAUUUGAGUAGGAGCGUUAAGCCUUGGACCCGAAAGAUGGUGAACUAUGCUUGGAUAGGGUGAAGCCAGAGGAAACUCUGGUGGAGGCUCGCAGCGGUUCUGACGUGCAAAUCGAUCGUCAAAUCUGAGCAUGGGGGCGAAAGACUAAUCGAACCAUCUAGUAGCUGGUUACCGCCGAA